rnacentral:lncRNA from 1 species
UGGUAUAUUUUUUGGCAUAAUACUAGAAUGAAUCUUUAUUUCUCCCUCCCUCUCGGCCUCUCCUCCCCCAUGUUGGGUUUUGAAACAGGAAACCUCGGCUGGCAUCAGUAUUUUAGCGACCUCAAACAUACUUCCAGGCACGUUCUCUUUCCCUCUUAUGCAUUUCAAGUAUGAUCUUGUUGUUUCAUCAGUAUUGUCGUCUUAAAACUGUUCCUCUCGGGAAAUUGUUAACCAGUAUUUCCUGUUGCAUGGCAAUUGGCAUGUUUUCAUCGGUUUGAAUGUGAUCCCUUUCCUUUAUUCCUUUGCUAAUAAGCACAAGCUAUCCACUGGUCCACCAAGGUAAAGGGUAAUGCAACAGUUGAAUCUUAUCAAGUACCCAAAGACCACGAAGAAAAAAUGGAUCUAUCAUCCAUGCAAGAAAGGGUUACUAGCUAUUGUAAAUGGUUUAUUUGAUUAAGACUUAGCUGGUUUGAAUCAACUUAUAGAUGCUCAGAUCACAAUAAGCAUAGAAACCUGUGUUAGCAAUACCCAACAAUCCGUUUUUCCUUUCCAGUUAUUUAGCAUUAUAAAACACUACUUCAAGAGAAACAGAUAAAUUUAUCAAUGGAAGCAUGCAUACUUGCCUGCAAGAGACACUCAUUAAUUUUCUUUUUGUUCAAAUACAACGUCAAUUGCUAUUGGAAACAAAUUUUUUUCCUUUUAUGGUCAUAUUUAUAUACUUUUGCUGCUUGGCACAAAAGUAACUUCUAGCUUUAUCUUUCGCUAGUAUAUAUAUAGUAUCACGGGGAGGGCAGGGAAGAGCAUCCUCCACCAACCUAGCAUUCUCUUCCACGGUGUGAUCUGCCUCAAGUUCGGCUAUAUUGAUCUCUUCAUUUUCGAGGUUUUAUCGUUCAAGGUUUGAACAAUAAUAUACAAAUAAGCCAACAGCCUAAUCAAAGGUGGUCGUGCCAUAAUGGUGACAAAUUUAUGAAACCUGCAAAAACAAGAUACGAGCAAUUGAGUCCCCGUUUUGUCUAACAAUAAACCUGCUUUUGAACAGAAGGAAAGAUAAACUCAGAAUUUACCGUUCAAAAGGAGAUUAUGUUAGUGAGGCUCCAACUCUAGCUGGUUUUAGCCUUUGCAGAGCACUUCUUCCAUGCUUUAUUGCUAUCAUAAAUAGACUGAAUAUAUAUAAUAGGUAAAAGUGGAUCUUUCCUAAGAUUAUGUUGGUUGCUCCCUCCAUAAAUGUUCCGCUUGAAGCUUCUGUUACCAGAUAAAGAGAGCAAACAUUAGACAUUAAAAACAAGGUUUAUUUGUCAGAUCAGAUAGGAUAAUCUAUUUUAUCUGUAAUUACCCCCACAAGAUUUCUGUCAUUGUCAUCUUAGUAAAUACCCAGAGCCAUUCUUAUAUCCAAGCAUGUAGUUAAUAGAUAGAGAGAGCAAUACUAAUUAUUUACUGCAUGCAGGUCAUUAUACCGAUCUGAUAAUGCAGGAGAAAAUAUCUUGAUUUUUCAGAAGAAUGCAUACCGGAAGUUUUCUUGGGGAAGUUGUUCCAAUCAUGAGGGCUCAUCUUCAUUUCUGAUGCAUUUAUCAAGUCCAGAAGAGCUUUAUUAACCUGAAAAUUUAAGAGUAAUUCAGUCUAUAAAGGUUCUUUCCACAGGCAAAUACCAUAAAAUAAAACCGUUAAAAAUUCUCAUUAAUCAUUGAGAUAUAUUUUUAGUAAUGAUGGAACACGGUCAAUUUUGUCAAGUUAAUAUUCUACUCUCAUCCAUCAAGUAAGUCAUUUGCACAUGCCAGAAUAUUACUUUCUGUACACAAUUCUACAAGCUCAACAUGAACCUUUUGUUACUCUUUCCCACUCAAAUUCAGUGUUAAAAAUAUUUUCAACUUCUUUUGAAAGUGGCUUUUUAGUGCUUUCCACCAUAGAAAGAUUCUCAAGGUGAACAUUCAUGAUGCCUGAAAUCAAGUGGCU